GACAGAGGGUGCAAACGUUGUUCGGAAUUACUGGGCGUAAAGCGUGUGUAGGCGGCCGCAUAAGUCGGGUGUGAAAGCCCAGGGCUCAACCCUGGAAGUGCACUCGAAACUGUGUGGCUCGAGUACCGGAGAGGUUGGUGGAAUUCUCGGUGUAGAGGUGAAAUUCGUAGAUAUCGAGAGGAACAUCGGUGGCGAAGGCGGCCAACUGGACGAGUACUGACGCUGAGACACGAAAGCGUGGGGAGCAAACAGG
rnacentral:rRNA from 2 species